rnacentral:rRNA from 1 species
GACGAACGCUGGCGGCGUGCUUAACACAUGCAAGUCGAACGAUGAAGCGGUGCUUGCACCGUGGAUUAGUGGCGAACGGGUGAGUAAUACGUGAGUGACCUACCUUUGACUCUGGGAUAAGCCUGGGAAACUGGGUCUAAUACCGGAUACGACCAAUCUCUGCAUGGGGUGUUGGUGGAAAGCGUUAUGGAGUGGUUUUAGAUGGGCUCACGGCCUAUCAGCUUGUUGGUGAGGUAAUGGCUUACCAAGGCGACGACGGGUAGCCGGCCUGAGAGGGUGACCGGCCACACUGGGACUGAGACACGGCCCAGACUCCUACGGGAGGCAGCAGUGGGGAAUAUUGCACAAUGGGCGCAAGCCUGAUGCAGCGACGCCGCGUGAGGGAUGACGGCCUUCGGGUUGUAAACCUCUGUUAGCAUCGAAGAAGCGAAAGUGACGGUAGGUGCAGAGAAAGCGCCGGCUAACUACGUGCCAGCAGCCGCGGUAAUACGUAGGGCGCGAGCGUUGUCCGGAAUUAUUGGGCGUAAAGAGCUUGUAGGCGGUUGGUCGCGUCUGCUGUGAAGGCCGGGGCUUAACUCCGGUUUUGCAGUGGGUACGGGCUAACUAGAGUGCAGUAGGGGAGACUGGAAUUCCUGGUGUAGCGGUGGAAUGCACAGAUAUCAGGAGGAACACCGAUGGCGAAGGCAGGUCUCUGGGCUGUAACUGACGCUGAGAAGCGAAAGCAUGGGGAGCGAACAGGAUUAGAUACCCUGGUAGUCCAUGCCGUAAACGUUGGGCACUAGGUGUGGGGGACAUUCCACGUUUUCCGCGCCGUAGCUAACGCAUUAAGUGCCCCGCCUGGGGAGUACGGCCGCAAGGCUAAAACUCAAAGGAAUUGACGGGGGCCCGCACAAGCGGCGGAGCAUGCGGAUUAAUUCGAUGCAACGCGAAGAACCUUACCAAGGCUUGACAUGCAUUAGAUCGCGUCAGAGAUGGCGUUUCCCUUCGGGGCUGGUGUACAGGUGGUGCAUGGUUGUCGUCAGCUCGUGUCGUGAGAUGUUGGGUUAAGUCCCGCAACGAGCGCAACCCUCGUUCUAUGUUGCCAGCGGUUCGGCCGGGGACUCAUAGGAGACUGCCGGGGUCAACUCGGAGGAAGGUGGGGAUGACGUCAAAUCAUCAUGCCCCUUAUGUCUUGGGCUUCACGCAUGCUACAAUGGCCGGUACAGAGGGUUGCGAUACUGUGAGGUGGAGCUAAUCCCUUAAAGCCGGUCUCAGUUCGGAUUGGGGUCUGCAACUCGACCCCAUGAAGUCGGAGUCGAUAGUAAUCGCAGAUCAGCAACGCUGCGGUGAAUACGUUCCCGGGCCU